UACGUAGGGUGCAAGCGGUAAUCGGAAUUACUGGGCGUAAAGCGUGCGCAGGCGGUGAUGUAAGACAGUUGUGAAAUCCCCGGGCUCAACCUGGGAACUGCAUCUGUGACUGCAUCGCUGGAGUACGGUAGAGGGGGAUGGAAUUCCGCGUGUAGCAGUGAAAUGCGUAGAUAUGCGGAGGAACACCGAUGGCGAAGGCAAUCCCCUGGACCUGUACUGACGCUCAUGCACGAAAGCGUGGGGAGCAAACAGG
rnacentral:rRNA from 1 species